AAACUAACAAGGAUUCCCCUAGUAACGGCGAGUGAACCGGGAAGAGCUCAAAUUUGAAAUCUGGCGUCCUCAGGGCGUCCGAGUUGUAAUCUAUAGAGGCGUUUUCCGUGCCGGACCGUGUCCAAGUCCCUUGGAACAGGGUAUCAAAGAGGGUGACAAUCCCGUACUUGACACGACUACCGGUGCUCUGUGAUACGUCUUCUACGAGUCGAGUUGUUUGGGAAUGCAGCUCAAAAUGGGUGGUGAGUUCCAUCUAAAGCUAAAUAUUGGCGAGAGACCGAUAGCGAACAAGUACCGUGAGGGAAAGAUGAAAAGCACUUUGGAAAGAGAGUUAAACAGUACGUGAAAUUGUUGAAAGGGAAACGAUUGAAGUCAGUCGUGACCGAGAGGCUCAGCCGGCUCUGCCGGUGUAUUCCCCUCGGUCGGGUCAACAUCAGUUUUGUCCGGUGGAUAAGGGCGGCAGGAAUGUGGCACCCUCGGGUGUGUUAUAGCCUGCUGUCGCAUACACCGGGUGAGACUGAGGAACGCAGCUCGCCUUUAUGGCCGGGGCCCGCCCACGUACGAGCUUAGGAUGUUGACGUAAUGGCUUUAAACGACCCGUCUUGAAACACG
rnacentral:rRNA from 1 species